GCGUGGGGGGUGGGCGCUGCCCGGCCCAGCGGCCCCGCAGUGACGGGGAGGAGGUGGCGGGACAGUCGCUUUUGUGCUCCUAGCCCAGCCUCACGGGGCUUUCCUCUCGCCAGCCCUUACGGGACUGUGCCCGGGAGCUCCCCGGGUGACGCCAGGCAGGCCCGCCCUCAGGUGUUCUCCUGCCCGCUGCUCCCCGUGAGGCCUCUUGCCAGGCAGCUUUAACGCUGUUCCCGCAUUGAACAAAGCAGGCACAGGUUUUCCGUGGCGCUGACACACAAAGCCUUUAUCACAACCUGCUGCUUCUGAUGGGGAGCUGGCGCUGCUCGGAAGCACAGCAAUUGUGACUACAGAACAGUCAUACUACAAGUUGUGGAUGUGUAUAGAUAUAAUUUUUUGCUUCAGUACCCCUAAGUUACCUGUGCAUUGCACCAUCUACCUCCACUGAAAGAAACCCAGUCCCUGCCUCCAGAAGAUCUAUGUUUGGAAAAAGCCAGCUAAGCAAGUGCAGAAGAGGAGGUAUUUCAGCUAGAGGAAAGCACCAGAGAGUUAAUUGUGUGCUGGAGUGGCCAAGCCUACAAGACAUCAGUUGCUGAGCAUUCAGGGUUGCAGCUUUCACCUGGCCCUGGGAAACAGGGCUGUGGGAAAGGGAACUUUGGGCAGGACUGUGCUGUCUCCUGCCUCUGGCUGUCAGAGUAAGCUCCUCUGUGUCUGUUGGGGUGCUAUGGAGGAUUACCUUGUUCCUGGAGCAGGGGGGGAUGAUAGGGAGUCCCCUGUUGCUGAUGCAGCAGGUGGCUCUCAGGGCUGAGCCAGCCUUGCUGCUGUCCCUUUCUUCUGCGCUAAUUCUGAUGCUGCUGGUUAGUCUUUGCCUUCAUGGCAAGUAUGAGUAAGUUCUUAUCUGUCCUUACCUUUUGCUUCACAAAAUUUUAGGAUUUUCAUGCUUUCCUCGUCCCAUGCUUUUUAAAAUUGGUCAAGAGCUUUGAAUAGGGACACGUCAAAUACCCACACCUGUAAGCUCACAUAUUUGUUGUGUGUGCUGAGUACCUGCCUUAGCCUUGAUGCUGUGGGGAAAUCAAGCUGAAAAACAAAGGCAUCUUUUGUAUGGGGUUUCUUCUAUUGUUAGGGUUUCUUACUGCUUUUUAGAAGUUAUGUCUUCUCUGUUGUACGAUUUUCAAGAGGAUAAGAUUGUU